rnacentral:rRNA from 1 species
UUUGUCCUACGGGGGGCAGCAGUGGGGAAUAUUGCACAAUGGGGGAAACCCUGAUGCAGCAACGCCGCGUGAGUGAAGAAGUAUUUCGGUAUGUAAAGCUCUAUCAGCAGGGAAGAAGAUGACGGUACCUGACUAAGAAGCCCCGGCUAACUACGUGCCAGCAGCCGCGGUAAUACGUAGGGGGCAAGCGUUAUCCGGAUUUACUGGGUGUAAAGGGAGCGUAGACGGCGAUGCAAGCCAGAUGUGAAAGCCCGGGGCUCAACCCCGGGACUGCAUUUGGAACUGUGUGGCUGGAGUGUCGGAGA